rnacentral:tRNA from 1 species
GGGGACGUAGCUCAGUUGGUUAGAGCGUUUGCUUGACAUGCAAGAGGUCAUAGGUUCGAUUCCUACCGCCCCCACCA